CAAUGACACAUUUUAUUCGACAGGCAGUGCAAAAAUGGAGAGCUGCAGCUAAGUAGAGACUGGCGUGUAAUACUUCAGCAUCUAGAGAAAAAUGACAGCAACAGAGUAACAUAUUAUCUUGUGGGGUUUUCUUUCUCUCUCGCUCUCUCAUUUAAAGCUGCCUAUAUGCAUGUAUUACUGUGGAGCUGCAAUUUUAUUUGAGAGAAGACUGAAGGACACAAGUUGGAGAUGGUGCAGUGCAGUUUUUCAAUGUCCAGAACUGUGGCGCAGCAACUGGGAAGAUAAAGUUCAGCAAUAAAGCAGUCUGCUGUGGAAAAGUGGAGACUAGAACAUAAUACAACACUUGGGAGUCCAGUAUGAAGACACGGUAACAAGAUACUGAAGACAGAAAGACAAGAGACCGACGCAGCAAACGGCAUCACCCAGGGCUAAUUUACAGCAACAGCGUAAGCUAACGCUAGCCUGUUAGUUCAUAUUGAUCAUUUCUAGCCAUGUACACACAAAUGUGACACUAAUUUAAUGACUUUUCUAUUUUGCCAAUGUGUUUCCUUUUAUUCCCUCGCUUAGACACAAAUGUUGUUACAUAUCUGCCCAUUUGUUUUAGCACUGGCGGAAUUCCUGUUCGUUUGAGUAUUAGCACCAGAGCAGGUGAAGAGUUUGCAAGAACAUCUGUUGGUAAUUUCAAUCUCUCUGCGCCUGGAGGCAAUGAAAUCCCACACUAAAUGGAUACUGUAUCUGAAACAUUA